GAUGAAGAACGUAGCAAAAUGCGAUACUUGGUGUGAAUUGCAGAAUCCCGUGAACCAUCGAGUUUUUGAACGCAAGUUGCGCCCGAAGCCUUUUGGCCGAGGGCACGUCUGCCUGGGCGUCACGCAUCGCGUCGCCCCCCACAAUUCUCCGUAAAAGGAACAUGUGUUUUGGGGGCGGAUAUUGGUCUCCCGUGCUCAUGGCGUGGUUGGCCGAAAUAGGAGUCCUUUCGAUGGACGCACGAACUAGUGGUGGUCGUAAAAACCCUCGUCUUUUGUUUCGUGCUGUUGCUCGCAAGGUAAACUCUUUAAAAACCCCAAUGGGUCGUCUCUUGACGACGCUUCGACCGCGACCCCAGGUCAGGCGGGACUACCCGCUGAGUUUAAGCAUAUCAAUAAGCGGAGGA
rnacentral:misc_RNA from 1 species